GACGAACGCUGGCGGCGUGCUUAAUACAUGCCAGUCGUACGGUAAGGCGCUUUCGGGGGUCCACGAGCGGUGGAGGGGUGAGUAACAGGAGAGUAACCUGACCAUAACUUUGGGAUAACGAUAGGAAACUGGUGCUAAUGCUGGAUAUGUGCUAUUGCUGCAAGGGGGGGGUUGGAAAGCUCCGGCGGUUGUGGAUGGACUUGCGGCCUAUCUGCUUGUUGGUGGGGUAGUGGCGUACCAAGGCGGCGACGUGUAGCCGGCCUGAGAAGGUGACCGGCCACACUGACACUUAGAUACGGCCCAGGCUCCUACGCUACGCAGCAGUGGGGAAUCUUGCACGAUGGGCGCAAGCCUGAUGCAGCAACGCCGCGUACGGUAUGACUGUCUUCGGAUUGUAAACCGCAUUCAGCAGGGACUAAGCUUUUUGUGACGGUACCUACAGAAGAAGCACCGGCUAACUACGUG
rnacentral:rRNA from 1 species